rnacentral:rRNA from 1 species
GAUGAACGCUGGCGGCGUGCUUAACACAUGCAAGUCGAACGAUGAAGCCCAGCUUGCUGGGUGGAUUUGUGGCGAACGGGUGAGUAACACGUGAGUAACCUGCCCUUGACUCUGGGAUAAGCCCGGGAAACUGGGUCUAAUACCGGAUAGGAGCGCCUGUCGCAUGACGGGUGUUGGAAAGAUUUUUCGGUCAUGGAUGGACUCGCGGCCUAUCAGCUUGUUGGUGAGGUAAUGGCUCACCAAGGCGACGACGGGUAGCCGGCCUGAGAGGGUGACCGGCCACACUGGGACUGAGACACGGCCCAGACUCCUACGGGAGGCAGCAGUGGGGAAUAUUGCACAAUGGGCGGAAGCCUGAUGCAGCGACGCCGCGUGAGGGAUGACGGCCUUCGGGUUGUAAACCUCUUUCAGUAGGGAAGAAGCGAAAGUGACGGUACCUGCAGAAGAAGCACCGGCUAACUACGUG